rnacentral:rRNA from 1 species
AUACCAGACUCCUACGGGAGGCAGCAGUGGGGAAUAUUGGGCAAUGGGCGCAAGCCUGACCCAGCAACGCCGCGUGAAGGAAGAAGGCUUUCGGGUUGUAAACUUCUUUUCUCAGGGACGAAGAAAGUGACGGUACCUGAGGAAUAAGCCACGGCUAACUACGUGCCAGCAGCCGCGGUAAUACGUAGGGGGCAAGCGUUAUCCGGAUUUACUGGGUGUAAAGGGAGCGUAGGUGGCAUGGCAAGCCAGAAGUGAAAACCCGGGGCGUAACCCCGCGGAUUGCUUUUGGAACUGUCAGGCUGGAGUGCAGGAGGGGCAGGCGGAAUUCCUGGUGUAGCGGUGAAAUGCGUAGAUAUCAGGAGGAACACCGGUGGCGAAGGCGGCCUGCUGGACUGUAACUGACACUGAGGCUCGAAAGCGUGGGGAGCAAACAGGAUUAGAUACCCCUGUAUU